rnacentral:rRNA from 1 species
GGCAGCAGUAGGGAAUCUUGCGCAAUGGGCGAAAGCCUGACGCAGCAAUGCCGCGUGCGGGACGAAGGCCCUAGGGUCGUAAACCGCUUUCAGUAGGGACGAAAAUGACGGUACCUGCAGAAGAAGCUCCGGCCAACUACGUGCCAGCAGCCGCGGUAA